UCCCUAGUAGCACAGAUGGUAGAGCAUCUGCCUGCAGUGCAGGAGACCUGGGUUCGAUUCCUGGGUUGGGAA
rnacentral:tRNA from 1 species